CGGGGGGGGCAAGCGUUGUUCGGAAUUACUGGGCGUAAAGGGCGCGUAGGCGGUUCGCUAAGUUGAACGUGAAAACUCUGGGCUUAACCCAGAGCCUGCAUUCAAUACUGGCGGGCUAGAGUUCUGGAGGGGAUAGCGGAAUUCCUGGUGUAGCGGUGAAAUGCGUAGAUAUCAGGAGGAACACCGGUGGCGAAGGCGGCUAUCUGGACAGAGUCUGACGCUGAGGCGCGAAAGCUAGGGGAGCAAACAGGAUUAGAUACCCUGGUAGUCCUAGCCCUAAACGAUGGAUACUUGCUGUGACUGGGAUUGAAUCCAGUCGUGGCGAAGCUAACGCAUUAAGUAUCCCGCCUGGGGAGUACGGUCGCAAGGCUG
rnacentral:rRNA from 1 species